GGAGAGAUGUCCGAGCGGCUUAAGGUGCACCCUUGGAAAGGGUGUGUACGUGUUAAAGCGUACCGGGGGUUCGAAUCCCCCUCUCUCCG
rnacentral:tRNA from 1 species